UACGUAGGGGGCAAGCGUUAUCCGGAUUUACUGGGUGUAAAGGGAGCGCAGACGGCAGUGCAAGUCUGAUGUGAAAGCCCGGGGCUCAACCCCGGAACUGCAUUGGAAACUGUACAGCUCGAGUGUCGGAGAGGUAAGCGGAAUUCCUAGUGUAGCGGUGAAAUGCGUAGAUAUUAGGAGGAACACCGGUGGCGAAGGCGGCUUACUGGACGAUGACUGACGUUGAGGCUCGAAAGCGUGGGGAGCAAACAGGAUUAGAUACCCUGGUAGU
rnacentral:rRNA from 1 species